rnacentral:lncRNA from 1 species
GACAGGGCCCCUCUGAUCCUUCAUCAUCUUGGAUGUCUUGGGGUGGAGGAGGUGCUUUUCCCCGGCUCCCCCAAUCGACUAAGUUUCUCCUCUCCCUCCUAUUUCUAGGAGGAGGGGGAACAUGCUCUUCUUCGUGGUCUGACCGAACCGACCCUCUUGAAGGGCGGACCCUAUUGCUAGGAUCGUUCCCUAUCCGGUCGAAGACGCUCACUGACCUCUGGUCAUCGUCUUCUUG